rnacentral:rRNA from 1 species
UGGGGAAUUUUGGACAAUGGGCGCAAGCCUGAUCCAGCCAUGCCGCGUGUAUGAAGAAGGCCUUCGGGUUGUAAAGUACUUUUGUCAGGGAAGAAAAGCCUGGGGAUAACACCCUCAGGUCAUGACGGUACCUGAAGAAUAAGCACCGGCUAACUACGUGCCAGCAGCCGCGGUAAUACGUAGGGUGCGAGCGUUAAUCGGAAUUACUGGGCGUAAAGCGAGCGCAGACGGUUAUUUAAGCAAGAUGUGAAAGCCCCGGGCUCAACCUGGGAACUGCGUUUUGAACUGGGUAACUAGAGUGUGUCAGAGGGGGGUAGAAUUCCACGUGUAGCAGUGAAAUGCGUAGAGAUGUGGAGGAAUACCGAUGGCGAAGGCAGCCCCCUGGGAUAACACUGACGUUCAUGCUCGAAAGCGUGGGUAGCAAACAGG